rnacentral:lncRNA from 1 species
AGAAAGAUGUGAGAGAACCGCUCUCAGUGGAUGACGGCCUACCUUCUAAUGAAAGUGGUAUCGUACUAUCUGUAGUGGUCACCCAUGGCUAAGUAAAGUCAUGACUGUAGAUAUCUAUUAGGGCCACUAUGACUAGUACGACUGUGAUCAUAGAUCGUACCAUGGUUUGGCCAAUCGAAAAUGGACUGAGUAAAUGUCGUAUCUGUAUCUAAUCUAGUCAUUCCACUUGGGUAGUUGGAAAUCUGUAUCAAUCCUCAGAGAUGGAAGUUCUAAUGACUUCGUGAAGCAUGAUAUGAAAAUCAGAG